GAGUAACACGUGGAUGAUCUACCUCUUAGUGGGGAAUAACCCUGGGAAACCGGGGCUAAUACCGCAUAAGCUCGAGAGAGGAAAGCAGCAAUGCGCUGAGAGAGGAGUCCGCGGCCGAUUAGCUCGUUGGCAGGGUAAAAGCCUACCAAGGCAAAGAUCGGUAGCCGGCCUGAGAGGGCACACGGCCACACUGGCACUGAAACACGGGCCAGACCCCUACGGGAGGCAGCAGUGGGGAAUCUUGCACAAUGGGGGAAACCCUGAUGCAGCGACGCCGCGUGAGCGAUGAAGCCCUUCGGGGUGUAAAGCUCUUUCGGCAGGGAAGAUGAUGACGGUACCUGCAGAAGCAGCUGCGGCUAACUACGUGCCAGCAGCCGCGGUAAUACGUAGGCAGCAAGCGUUGUUCGGAGUUACUGGGCGUAAAGGGUGUGUAGGCGGUUGCUUAAGUUCGGUGUGAAAUCUCCCGGCUCAACUGGGAGGGUGCGCCGAAUACUGAGUGACUCGAGUGCGGGAGAGGAGAGUGGAAUUCCUGGUGUAGCGGUGAAAUGC
rnacentral:rRNA from 1 species